GUCAAAACAUUAAGUUCACUAAUUCCAGAAAAUCUGUCCUCAAGAAAGUAGGGAUCAUGAGACAAGUUGUCCUAUUUUAUCUGCUGCUGUUUUUCACAAUGUAUUCAGCCCAAAAAUUACCCAAAUGUGGCUUUGCGUGGCAAAGCA